rnacentral:rRNA from 1 species
AUUGAACGCUGGCGGCAGGCCUAACACAUGCAAGUCGAGCGGAUGAAGGGAGCUUGCUCCUGGAUUCAGCGGCGGACGGGUGAGUAAUGCCUAGGAAUCUGCCUGGUAGUGGGGGAUAACGUCCGGAAACGGGCGCUAAUACCGCAUACGUCCUGAGGGAGAAAGUGGGGGGUCUUCGGACCUCACGCUAUCAGAUGAGCCUAGGUCGGAUUAGCUAGUUGGUGGGGUAAAGGCCUACCAAGGCGACGAUCCGUAACUGGUCUGAGAGGAUGAUCAGUCACACUGGAACUGAGACACGGUCCAGACUCCUACGGGAGGCAGCAGUGGGGAAUAUUGGACAAUGGGCGAAAGCCUGAUCCAGCCAUGCCGCGUGUGUGAAGAAGGUCUUCGGAUUGUAAAGCACUUUAAGUUGGGAGGAAGGGUAGUAAGUUAAUACCUUGCUGUUUUGACGUUACCAACAGAAUAAGCACCGGCUAACUUCGUG